CACACACACAAUCAAAUUAAGAUACACACUGGUCUAGUAUUUUUCAAUUACUGAUUUUUUAUAAUAUUUUAAGAAAUAAGAUUUUGUCCAAAUGUAUGUGACGUCUUGAACUGUGAAAUAAAGAAAUGCCUCAAAAUGAACCGUGUGAACAGGAACACUACUUGUACUUAAUGAGGUAACUUUCAAAAAUGUUUUGCUCUAAACAUGUACACAACUAGAAUUAUCACUGAGACUCACAAACUCCAUUUCUUAAAAAUACUCAGAACCCCAACAGGGAAAAAUACAAUUUACAUUUAUGUCUUUACAUUCGACCCUGCAGUUUUACAGUGGAAAGGAAAAGUAUGUGAACCCUUUGGAAUGACCCUGAUUUAUAUAUAAAUUAGUCUUAAAAUCUUGUUUGAUCUGGAAGUUACAAUAAUGAAUGAACACAACCUGUUUUAACUAAAAAAACACAAAUUAUUGUCUUGUUCUUGUACAUACUGACUACAUCAUUCAAACAUUCGCAGUGUGGUUGGGAAAAGGUAAGUGAACCCCUAUGCUAAUGACGUCAACAAAAGCUAAUUAGAGUCACGAGUUGGCAAACCUGGCAUCCAAGUAAUGAAAUGAGAUUGUAGGUGUGGGUUAGAGCUACUUUGACUUAUUAAAAGCACUCAAACAUGUUGAGCAUCUGCUGACAUGGACCAGAGAUCUCAGAAGACCUACGAUCAAGAAUUGUUGCUUUGUAUGAAGCUGGAAAGGGUUAUAAAGUUAUCUGGAAGAGUUUAAAUAUUCAUCUGUCCACAGUGAGACAAACUGUCUUAUAAAUGGAGAUGAUUUAGUACUAUAGGUACUCUCACUAGAAGUGGCCGUUAGAUAUUCAUCUGUCCACAGUGAGACAAACUGUCUAUAAAUGGAGAUGAUUUAGUACUAUAGGUACUCUCACUAGAAGUGGCCGUUAGAUAUUCAUCUGUCCACAGUGAGACAAACUGUCUAUAAAUGGAGAUGAUUUAGUACUAUAGGUACUCUCACUAGAAGUGGCCGUUAGAUAUUCAUCUGUCCACAGUGAGACAAACUGUCUAUAAAUGGAGAUGAUUUAGUACUAUAGGUACUCUCACUAGAAGUGGCCGUUAGAUAUUCAUCUGUCCACAGUGAGACAAACUGUCUAUAAAUGGAGAUGAUUUAGUACUAUAGGUACUCUCACUAGAAGUGGCCGUUAGAUAUUCAUCUGUCCACAGUUAGACAAACUGUCUAUAAAUGAACAUGAUUUAGUACUAUAGGUACUCUCACUAGAAGUGGCCGUUAGAUAUACAUCUGUCCACAGUGACACAAACUGUCUAUAAAUGGAGAUGAUUUAGUACUAUAGGUACUCUCUCUAGAAGUGGCCGUUAGAUAUUCAUCUGUCCACAGUGAGACAAACUGUCUAUAAAUGGAGAUGAUUUAGUACUAUAGGUACUCUCACUAGAAGUGGCCGUUAGAUAUUCAUCUGUCCACAGUUAGACAAACUGUCUAUAAAUGGAGAUGAUUUAGUACUAUAGGUACUCUCUCUAGAAGUGUCCAUUAGAUAUUCAUCUGUCCACAGUUAGACAAACUGUCUAUAAAUGGAGAUGAUUUAGUACUAUAGGUACUCUCACUAGAAGUGGCCGUUAGAUAUUCAUCUGUCCACAGUGAGACAAACUGUCUAUAAAUGGAGAUGAUUUAGUACUAUAGGUACUCUCACUAGAAGUGUCCGUUAGAUAUUCAUCUGUCCACAGUGAGACAAACUGUCUAUAAAUGGAGAUGAUUUAGUACUAUAGGUACUCUCACUAGAAGUGGUCGUCCAGUCAAGAUGACUCAAAGGGAACACCGCAGAAUGCUCAAUGAGGUAAUAAAGAACCCUAGAGUGACCGAUAAAGACUUGAAGGAAUCAUUGGAACUGGUGAACAUCUCUGUUCAUGAGUCUACUGUACAGAAAACAUUAAACAGGUGUGUGUUCAUGGCAGGACAUCGUGAAGGAUGCCGCUGCAGCGGUUGAGGCUCUGGGCUGCACUCUGACUCCAGCUUAGCUGGGAUAUGUGAAAAAUACAUUUCACUGUAUAUAUGCAGAAAUGUAUAAUGUGUGACCAAAAUAAAGGCUUCUAAUCUAAUUUAAAUUCGUCUCUUUAAAGUCACACAGAAAUGAUUCAUGACUGAUCCGUGUCUCUCAGGGCCUCAUG